GAUGAACGCUGGCGGCGUGGCUAAUACAUGCAAGUCGAGCGAACAGACGAGGAGCUUGCUCCUCUGACGUUAGCGGCGGACGGGUGAGUAACACGUGGAUAACCUACCUAUAAGACUGGGAUAACUUCGGGAAACCGGAGCUAAUACCGGAUAAUAUAUUGAACCGCAUGGUUCAAUAGUGAAAGACGGUUUUGCUGUCACUUAUAGAUGGAUCCGCGCCGCAUUAGCUAGUUGGUAAGGUAACGGCUUACCAAGGCGACGAUGCGUAGCCGACCUGAGAGGGUGAUCGGCCACACUGGAACUGAGACACGGUCCAGACUCCUACGGGAGGCAGCAGUAGGGAAUCUUCCGCAAUGGGCGAAAGCCUGACGGAGCAACGCCGCGUGAGUGAUGAAGGUCUUCGGAUUGUAAAACUCUGUUAUUAGGGAAGAACAAAUGUGUAAGUAACUAUGCACGUCUUGACGGUACCUAAUCAGAAAGCCACGGCUAACUACGUG
rnacentral:rRNA from 1 species